CUUCCCCCUGACCAGGGCUGGAGAAUGCGGGUUGUCCUCUCGCUUCCUGCCCGCCGCGGGUGCGACUGCUCCCACGCGCCGCCUCCCACCUCCGGGAUUCCAGCCCCAGUUCCCUGGAGCUCGAUCGAAGCUAAUCGAUUCGUGCGUCAUUGCGGCGAUCAUCGGAGAUUCACUCCAUUUGGAAUGCCAAGUCGCCAAUUGCAUGCGCUGGUGGUUUGUUGGGCACCGCACAUUGGUAAAACACUGGAACUAGGAUUCAGCACAUAUUUCUGACAUGUUUUACUUGAAUCGAGGUGUUUGCCAGGCCAAGCGACUAAGGUCUGUGAGCUUAAAUUUUGCCGAGCCAGCCGCUGAACUGGAUAAAUUAUAGACGUCUCACUUGGUCAGUAGAUAGGGAGAAUUGAUGUGACAGUUGGACUGAACUCACCCAGUUUUUCCACUUUGAUUCGAGUACUGACUGCUACUUGACCCUGAUCACUUUAAUUUUGCUGACACAUGAUGGAUAGGGCAGGACCACCGGGGACCCAAUUUCUUUCAAGUAAAUUAUUGGGAUUUUCCUGCAGUCAGGGGUCUAAAUAAAUCACUUGUUUUGAUGCCAUGAUUUCUACUACCUAACAAAAAGGAUUCAUCUCCUCUAUUAUUCAUUUCCUGAAACAAAUCCGCAGUUUCGAUGUCAUGCACACUCCAGAGUUGAUUAGAAGAUAUAUAUAAGUGCCUGAAAUCGUACCAAUCACUAUGAGAUAAGGUUCCAGUUUGUUUCUAAAAACUACAUGAUUGCAGCAGGGCAGUAUGUUGCUGAAUUUCAGUCUUAGUGAUGGUUCUCUCUAGAGAAAUCAGAAAUUGUGCCAGAGAAUGCAGGCUGACCAGCAAUCACCCUGCCCAUUUGGCGAACAAAUGAUACUACUGGCUCCUGAUGAUCCUUUAAUUAGUCAUCAGCAUAUCUAAUAUAGGUUGUUAUGAUUUCUUUUCCAAUUAAUUGGAAGAGGGCACAGGGCUCUGUUGGCACGUCUUAUUGUCCUCUUCAGCUAUGCCUUUGUUGUCUUGAUGCUGAUCGAGCUUUGGCUUGUUGCCAGACAUAAUAAUUGCAACAUAAACUCUUGCAAACUAUGGGGAGUUAUGAAUUUUAGUUUUUUUUUGUAUUAAGACAAUUCUUCCUGUUUGUCUCUGUAACCAAUAUAUUUUUUGUGUGAGAACAAAUUGGCAAUGUGAAUUAUGUUUUUUCAAAAUAUUUCGUGUGCACAGUUUCCACUGGAUGCAAUGUCGUUUCUUGAUUUCUUCAUUUUGAGAUUUUAUAUCCCCAUGAAAUUAUAUCACUAGAUUAAAAUUUCCCCUAUGUGCGUCUCACAGAAAGUAGAAGCAGGGGCGGAGCCAGGCCCCGUGCUGCCUAUGCUGCAGCCCGGGUCCUGAGUCUAGGAUACAUUGGUAAAUCAGAUUAAAGAACAGAUAAAAGCUAAACUUAGCAAUAAAUUUGGUGUGAAUUAACUUUUAAGCCCUUGUAGAAAGACAGGUAUUUAUUUAGUGCUGUAUAAAUUUAUCUCCUCUAGCCACCACAAUGAAUCUUCAUCCGAGUUGGCAUAUUAUUUUUUAAGCUUGCAAAUGGAAAAGCAUUGGCAACAAUUUUUUUUAUCGAACAAUGCAGCAGAGUUGCAUGUCAUUUCAUUAAGAAGAGAACAAACUAAUACAAGGAGACUUCAAAGAUCAUCUCCAAGACCUACACAAUGCAGGCAAUAAUGGAACAUUUCAAGAUGCUACAUGACUGAAAUGUCAUCUGUAACAUACACAUACCGUAGGAAAGUACCAGGACCCUGUCACUGUCUGUCACGGUUGGAACCCUAUGAGCUAUUGUUAUCACCGUGCAACUUGAGAACUGCUGCCUGAUUACUUUCUGAAGGAUUGCAUCUGUUGCAGAGUCGAUGGAUGCUGUUGCCUCAUCAAGAACUAAAAUUUUGUUCCUGCGGAGCAGAACUCUGCCGAGACAGAAGAGCUGACGUUGUCCAGAGCUCCAGUUGUCACCAUCAUCACUCACUGUGCAAUUGUCCAACAAGAAUCAACGGAUUGAGUUCAAUCUCUCCUUGAUGAGGUAUAUACUGCUUUCUGGUGGUAUAAUUCUAACUUCACGUACCUACUGUAUCAAGAAGAGCUGGGGUGCUGCUAAUUGCUGCCUUCAGUUGACACUUCUCUAAGGCCUGAUAUGUUCAUUGUAAGUAGUGUAAAUUGAAAUACAUGAAGCUGUUAUUGUUUAUGCAGACAUAUAGCAACAUAAUUAAGGUUAGCAUGAUCAAACCCGUAGAAAAGAUAUGCUUCUAAUUCACAUGGUAACAGAAGGUUAAUUUAACAUGGUUUAUUAGGACUGUAUUGCGCAUAAAUUUGUAUUGCCAUUAGUACACUCACUAUAAUUUUGCAGGCACGAAAACUUUUACUGACCUCCCAUAUCUCUUGGUCGGAAUGCAGGCCAAGGGGAUCCAAAUUGUUGCGCACAGUUCCUCUGAAAAGCGUUGGUUCUUGAGGGAUAAUACUCAAUUUAGUUCUCAGAUCCUUUAGGCCUAUGGAGCAGAUAUCCAACUUGUCAAUAAGUAUCCUCCCACCUGCCGGAUCAACGAGACGGAACAACGAGCUGAUAAGUGUUGAUUUCCCACUUCCUGUCCUCCCUACAACCCCAAUCUUGUUCCCCGCAGCAAAAGUACAAGUAAUUCCUUUGAGGACAAGUGGUGCAUUUGGUCGGUAUCUUAUCUGCUCAUGAAGUACAAGUCAGCAAGUCAAUUUCUCAAACUUGAAUGACUGUGGAAAAGAAAUUGACAACUAUUUUACCUUCAAAUCUUGAAGGUCUAUCCUUCCCUCCUGUGGCCAUGAAGCUGGAGGCCUAUUUUGUGGUAUAAUGGCAGGUGGCUCCGCUGGGAGGUGCAUAUACUGCUUGAUUCGCUCAACUGAGAUGAUGUAGUUUUCCAAGUAUGAAUAAAACCUUGUCAAGAAAACCUGUGCUGCAGUCAGCGUCAAAGCAUAGGAGAGGCAAAGUCCAGCAAAACCUGAAAGAAGUUCAUAUUGGGAACAUUUAAUAAACCCAGAGAUACCAUAUAGAAGCGAGAUCUAAUCGUAAUGGUUAUGUAGCUACCUGGUGAAAUUACUCCGGGAGGAACUAGAACAAGGAACAAUGCUGCUGUAAUUAUUGUCAAGGACUGCAGUGCCUCCACUCUUAUAAGCACCCACUCUUGUGCAGCAAUAGUGUGGAAGAACAGAGUCGCAUCAGUGUCAAUUAGCUCCAUGUUGCUGUGGAUGAACCUAUCUAUUGCUGCAAAUGCCCUGAUGGUCACCACACCAAGGAUUGACUCUGAUGCAUAGUUCAUGACAGCGUUGUAUACUGACCUGAACAUAUACCAUGGUGAUUGUAACUGGGAUUGCCACAAUCAAUACUUCCCAAGUUACAGUACCCAUGACCAGUACUGUUGUAACAACCUCAAUAGUACCAGUAGUGACAAAAGCCAUGGAGUAAGGUAUGUCAAAGUCCAGAAUGCUUAAAUCUGAAGAUGCCUGCACAGACCAGAAUUUGCAUUUCAA